rnacentral:misc_RNA from 1 species
AAAAAAAAAAAAAAAAAGUGAUCCACAAGCCGCCAAAAUGAAGUGCAAGAAAAUUUUAAUUACAUUAACAGUAUUUUGAGUCUUAACAAAAGGACAGGCAAUCUUCCAUUAAUGAGAAGGAAGCUGCAAAAUUUCUUUGCCUACAUGUCUCUUUGCAAAACAAAUUUACACAUGAAAUAGAAUAAAAGUAACCUCUCUCUGGCCUAUAUGCUUCUGAGUCUGCUUAAAAACAUAGACUACCAAGCAAGCAAUUAAGAAAAUUAAUACUAAUUAGAAGAAAGAUUACGUUCGGCCAGCAGCUAGCACAAUAAUGAGUAAUGUAAUUAACCAGACAUUAAUUUGGUUAUUAAUUUUGGCAGUUGCAGCAGCAGCUGGGGUAGAAGGGCUUGAAGGUACCGCUCCAUAAACAGUUGCUCCAUUUGAAUUUGUGGUGUUCAACACU